rnacentral:lncRNA from 1 species
CAGGCGUGAGCCACCGCGCCCUAAGGCCCCCAUUCUUAACUGUUAACUCCUGAAUUGGGGAUUUCUGUCAAUCUAGCAGAAACUCCAAAAGGAUUCUCUGUACUAGAACCUUGAUUGUCUGAUCACCCCUGUUUCUUAUUUUUCUUAUUUUUAGGCAUUAAUUCCAAAAACAUCCAUCAGACAGACAUUUAGGAAGUGUUCUUUCUAUACAACAGAGACUUGGACAGGUGAAUCAGACCACAGUCCUUGUUUCAUUAAGUUUUCAAUUUUGGAGGGGGAAGGAAAGGAGAAUGAGACAGCCAAAAACUUGUGCUAACUGGUAACUGAAGUGAUGGGUGAGGACAGGAGACAGAGC